rnacentral:rRNA from 1 species
GAAGGGUGCAAGCGUUACUCGGAAUUACUGGGCGUAAAGCGUGCGUAGGUGGUUCGUUAAGUCUGUCAUGAAAGCCCCGGGCUCAACCUGGGAAUGGCGAUGGAUACUGGCGGGCUAGAGUGCGGUAGAGGAGAGUGGAAUUCCCGGUGUAGCAGUGAAAUGCGUAGAGAUCGGGAGGAACAUCAGUUGCGAAGGCGGCUCUCUGGACCAGCACUGACACUGAGGCACGAAAGCGUGGGGAGCAAACAGGAUUAGAUACCCUGGUAGUCCACGCCCUAAACGAUGCGAACUGGACGUUGGGAGCAACUAGGCUCUCAGUGUCGAAGCUAACGCGUUAAGUUCGCCGCCUGGGGAGUACGGUCGCAAGACUG